rnacentral:rRNA from 1 species
ACUUGUACUGAUUGAGAUUUUAACACGAAGUGAGUGGCGAACGGGUGAGUAACACGUGGGUAACCUGCCCAGAAGUAGGGGAUAACACCUGGAAACAGAUGCUAAUACCGUAUAACAGAGAAAACCGCAUGGUUUUCUUUUAAAAGAUGGCUCUGCUAUCACUUCUGGAUGGACCCGCGGCGUAUUAGCUAGUUGGUGAGGUAAAGGCUCACCAAGGCAGUGAUACGUAGCCGACCUGAGAGGGUAAUCGGCCACAUUGGGACUGAGACACGGCCCAGACUCCUACGGGAGGCAGCAGUAGGGAAUCUUCCACAAUGGACGCAAGUCUGAUGGAGCAACGCCGCGUGAGUGAAGAAGGGUUUCGGCUCGUAAAGCUCUGUUGUUAAAGAAGAACGUGGGUAAGAGUAACUGUUUACCCAGUGACGGUAUUUAACCAGAAAGCCACGGCUAACUACGUGCCAGCAGCCGCGGUAAUACGUAGGUGGCAAGCGUUAUCCG